rnacentral:misc_RNA from 1 species
GGAAAGAAAGAGAGAGAAAGAGAGAGAAAGCGAAAGUAAGAAAGAAGCUAGGGAGCGAAGUUGCAAACUGUAGAGUGAGAAGUAAGCUGAAGAAUCUAUCCAACACGACACAUCCUAAUCCAAUCCAACGAAAAAAGCCACUCUAAGCUCAGUGGGCACAUAUGCCUAGGCCUACACACCUUAACAAGCUAACAACAAAUAAUGAGAACGGGGAAGAAAGAGUGCGUGGGAAAUGCACAUUUUUCGAUAAAAAUAAAAUAUGCAGUCUUGCAUUUGGCAUCUUUGUCACGGUUCUACAGAGGC